GUUCUUGUAGUUGAAUAACAACGGUGGUUUUUCAUAUCAUUAGUCCUGGUUAAGAUCCGGGCAGGAAUU